rnacentral:rRNA from 1 species
AAUUCGAUUGUUUGAUCCUGGCUCAGGAUGAACGCUGGCGGCGUGCCUAACACAUGCAAGUCGAACGAGAAGCUAACUUCUGAUUCCUUCGGGAUGAUGAGCUUGGCAGAAAGUGGCGAACGGGUGAGUAACGCGUGGGUAACCUACCCUCGAGUCUGGAAUAACGUUCCCAACGGAGCGCUAAUACCGGAUGACACUCCAGCGGCACAAGCCGCAGGAGUCAAAGGUGGCCUCUACAUGUAAGCUACCGCUUAAGGAUGGGCCCGCGUCCCAUUAGCUUGUUGGUAGGGUAACGGCCUACCAAGGCGACGAUGGGUAGCCGGCCUGAGAGGGUGUCCGGCCACACUGGGAUUGAGAUACGGCCCAGACUCCUACGGGAGGCAGCAGUCGAGAAUCAUUCGCAAUGGGGGAAACCCUGACGAUGCGACGCCGCGUGGGCGAUGAAGGCCUUCGGUCGUAAAGCCCUGUCAUGUGGGAAGAACCGGGUGGGGGUUAAUACCCUUCAUCCCUGACGGUACCACAAGAGGAAGCUCCGGCUAACUCCGUACCAGCAGCCGCGGUAAUACGGGGGGAGCAAGCGUUGUUCGGAAUUACUGGGCGUAAAGGGCGUGUAGGCGGCUUUGCAAGUCAGGCGUGAAAUUCAUCGGCUCAACUGAUGACCUGCGUUUGAAACUGCUCGGCUUGAGUACGGGAGAGGAAAGCGGAAUUCUCGGUGUAGCGGUGAAAUGCGUAGAUAUCGAGAAGAACACCAGUGGCGAAGGCGGCUUUCUGGCCCGAUACUGACGCUAAGGCGCGAAAGCUAGGGGAGCAAACAGGAUUAGAUACCCUGGUAGUCCUAGCCGUAAACGAUGGGCACUUGGUGUAGGGGGUAUCGACCCCCCCCUGUGCCGAAGCUAACGCAUUAAGUGCCCCGCCUGGGGAGUACGAUCGCAAGGUUGAAACUCAAAGGAAUUGACGGGGGCCCGCACAAGCGGUGGAGCAUGUGGUUUAAUUCGACGCAACGCGAAGAACCUUACCGGGGUUUGACAUGUGCCUGACGGGUGUAGAAAUACAUCUUCCCUUCGGGGCGGGUACACAGGUGCUGCAUGGCUGUCGUCAGCUCGUGUCGUGAGAUGUUGGGUUAAGUCCCGCAACGAGCGCAACCCUUGCCCUUAGUUGCCAUCAGUUCGGCUGGGCUCUCAAAGGGGACUGCCGGUGAUAAACCGGAGGAAGGUGGGGAUGACGUCAAGUCCUCAUGGCCCUUACAUCCCGGGCUACACACGUGCUACAAUGGUCUGUACAGAGGGUAGCAAUGUCGCGAGGCGGAGCCAAUCCCUGAAAACAGGCCUCAGUUCGGAUUGCAGUCUGCAACUCGACUGCAUGAAGUUGGAAUCGCUAGUAAUCGCGGAUCAGCAUGCCGCGGUGAAUACGUUCCCGGGCCUUGUACACACCGCCCGUCAAGCCACGAAAGCUGGGAGUACCCGAAGUCGCUGUCCUAACCCCUCGGGGAGGGAGGCGCCGAAGGUAAGACUGGUGAUUGGGGCUAAGUCGUAACAAGGUAGCCGAAUCACUAGUGAA